CUACGUGCCAGCAGCCGCGGUAAUACGGAAGGUCCAGGCGUUAUCCGGAUUUAUUGGGUUUAAAGGGAGCGUAGGCGGAUUGUUAAGUCAGCGGUUAAAGGGUGUGGCUCAACCAUGCAUUGCCGUUGAAACUGGCGAUCUUGAGUGCAGACAGGGAUGCCGGAAUUCGUGGUGUAGCGGUGAAAUGCUUAGAUAUGACGAAGAACUCCGAUUGCGAAGGCAGCUUACGGGAGCAUAACUGACGCUGAAGCUCGAAGGUGCGGGUAUCAAACAGGAUUAGAUACCCUGGUAGUCCGCACAGUAAACGAUGGAUGCCCGUUGUUAGUUCACUUAAGAAUUAGCGACCAAGCGAAAGCAUUAAGCAUCCCACCUGGGGAGUACGCCGGCAACGGUGAAACUCAAAGGAAUUGACGGGGGCCCGCACAAGCGGAGGAACAUGUGGUUUAAUUCGAUGAUACGCGAGGAACCUUACCCGGGCUUGAA
rnacentral:rRNA from 1 species